rnacentral:lncRNA from 1 species
AAACUAUUCAGAGAGACAGGAAGUGACAAACUGGGAUUAAAGGGAACUUAAUUCUAACUAAACACUGAACAAGAAGAGUUCUAUAAUUAGCUUUUAUAUGGAAGAAUCCCUUCAUUAAGUGUCAACUAAAUUAUUUUGUUAUUAUUGAUAUUUUAACAUGGCAAAAUAAUUCAGUCAGAAAAAUAACAUAUUGGAGUUUUACUUUAUCCACGGAAAGGUGAGAUCAGUCUAUUCUUUCCUUACUUCUGCUAGGAAAAAAAAAGAGGGAGGGGGUCUUAAGUAAUCUCAGAGUUCAUCUUCUUUUUCUGGUAAGAACAAUGAGGAGCUGGAAGGGUUCUACAGAAGGAAAAACCUAAUAAGUGUGUGAACUUCCAUCAACAAUGUGGUAUUGGAAGUGGUUUCAGUGUGGCCAAGAGAAAGGGAGAUAAGAAAACCACUGUGUAGAAAGAAAAGUGCAGACAACAAAUAUUUU